CUUGCUAAGGCCGAUGGCGACCGGCGCACGGGUGAGUAACACGUAUCCAACCUGCCCCUUACUCGGGGAUAGCCUUUCGAAAGAAAGAUUAAUACCCGAUGGCAUAAUGAUUCCGCAUGGUUUCAUUAUUAAAGGAUUCCGGUAAAGGAUGGGGAUGCGUUCCAUUAGGUUGUUGGUGAGGUAACGGCUCACCAAGCCUUCGAUGGAUAGGGGUUCUGAGAGGAAGGUCCCCCACAUUGGAACUGAGACACGGUCCAAACUCCUACGGGAGGCAGCAUG
rnacentral:rRNA from 1 species